rnacentral:lncRNA from 1 species
AGUGAAGUGAACACAUGGACCCAACUGAAAUACAAUUGAAAAAGAUUUUUAUAAGAAACUUCCCUCAGAAGCUCAAACUGAAACAGACCUUCUGGAAAAGGACAGCACACAAAAGAGGAUCACUGAAACUGAGUCUGUAUUGAUCAAAAGAACACCCUCUACAUCAUUAUUACAGAAGCUUACAACAAAAACACAGUGAAAACAAUUUUACGGAAGUUGUAAAGUGCUUGAGCAAGAGGUAGACUUCUCUGUGGAUAAGGAAGAAAACAUUUACACCAAUCUGCACGGGUUGUCAGCAUUACUGGAGACCCUCUGAAAUGAUAGUGGAAAUACCUGUGAAUAUGAAUAAGCUUGAGAAGAUGCUCCCACCACCAGGAUAGUUCCUCCAAGUGAGUAAAUGCCCACUUAAUUAGAAGGAAAAACCCUUGACUUUGACACAUUUGAAAGGCUUGUUGAGCUGUAACUCAAGAGCACAUUCUGUGGA